rnacentral:rRNA from 1 species
CCUGGUUGAUUCUGCCAGUAGUCAUAUGCUUGUCUCAAAGAUUAAGCCAUGCAUGUCUAAGUAUAAGCAACUUUGUACUGUGAAACUGCGAAUGGCUCAUUAAAUCAGUUAUAGUUUAUUUGAUGGUUUUUGCUACAUGGAUAACUGUGGUAAUUCUAGAGCUAAUACAUGCAUUCAAGCCCCGACUUCUGGAAGGGGUGUAUUUAUUAGAUAAAAAUCAACUUUGUUGGUGAAUCAUAAUAACUUCUCGGACCGCAUGGCCUUGUGCUGGCGGUGCUUCAUUCAAAUAUCUGCCCUAUCAACUGUCGAUGGUAGGAUAGAGGCCUACCAUGGUUGCAACGGGUAACGGGGAAUAAGGGUUCGAUUCCGGAGAGGGAGCCUGAGAAACGGCUACCACAUCCAAGGAAGGCAGCAGGCGCGCAAAUUACCCAAUCCCGACACGGGGAGGUAGUGACAAUAUGUAACAAUAUACGGCCUUAUACGUCGUAUAAUUGGAAUGAGUACAAUUUAAAUCCCUUAACGAGGAACAAUUGGAGGGCAAGUCUGGUGCCAGCAGCCGCGGUAAUUCCAGCUCCAAUAGCGUAUAUUAAAGUUGUUGCAGUUAAAAAGCUCGUAGUUGGACCUUGGACCUGGACAGGCGGUCCGCCUCACGGCGAGUACUGUCUUGCUGGGUCUUUCCUCUUGGUGAUCUGUUGUUUCGGCAGCAGGGAACCAGGACCUUUACUUUGAAAAAAUUAGAGUGUUCAAGCAGGCUCGACGCCGGAAUAUAUUAGCAUGGAAUAAUAAAAUAGGACGUGCGGUUCUAUUUUGUUGGU